UACGGAGGAUGCGAGCGUUAUCCGGAUUUAUUGGGUUUAAAGGGUGCGUAGGCGGAUUGAUAAGUCAGUGGUGAAAUCCUGCAGCUUAACUGUAGCAUUGCCGUUGAUACUGUCAGUCUUGAGUAUGGUUAAGGUAGGCGGAAUGUGUAAUGUAGCGGUGAAAUGCUUAGAUAUUACACAGAACACCGAUUGCGAAGGCAGCUUACUGAACCAUAACUGACGCUGAGGCACGAAAGCGUGGGGAGCGAACAGGAUUAGAUACCCUGGUAGUCCACGCCGUAAACGAUGAUCACUCGCUGUUAGCGAUACACAGUUAGCGGCUAAGCAAAAGCAUUAAGUGAUCCACCUGGGGAGUACGGCCGCAAGGCUGAA
rnacentral:rRNA from 1 species